GCCGGGAACUCGAAGGCCUUGAAGGGUUUGGUUAGGAGUUGGACUGAGAAGGUGAAGAGCAAGUUUGGAGGAAGGCGCCAGCGGAAGUGGGGAGCUCUGCGGGAGCGUGGUUGGGGUGAGGGGCGAGUGGUCGGGGAGACAGGUGUGUUUGGUUAUAGAUGGGAAAGCCUUGGGUUUUGAGAUGUUAAGCCCAUCGUGGUAGUGCUUGAUGGGCUGGUGAGUAAGACCCGGGAACAGAGCCAAAGCAAGUAGGAGCUAGAGCGGAGGGAGGAGCUGGGAAGUGUGCAGCUGCCCAGAGAAUGAGCGGCCAGCCAGGUGGACCAGAGGGGGUCCUGUGGUGUGGGUCGCCCUCUCUGGGGACCCGUCCUGGUGCUCUCUUCUGGGGGUGGGGCGCUUCUGCGGGUGGUGGGGCCAUGACCGAGGGCUAGCUCAGGUUACUGUCCAUCUCCUACCCCGGGUCCGGUCUCCUACCCCAGCCAGCUGUUUCCUGAAUGGAAAGGGAGUCUGGAUAGGGGGUGGCAGUUUUCUGGUUAGCUGCGAGAUUUGUCAAGUAGAGAGCUCACUGCAUACUUUUGUGACAAUCACUCCCCUUCUUUCCCUAGUUUCCCUUUUUCCUGAACCCUUCCCCCUCUUCCUCCUCCGCACUUCGCUCCUCCCCACCUUCUCUUACAAAUUGCAGUCUGUUCUUCUCUAAGGUAGAUCCUAGAUGUGGAGUAUACACCCAGUGCUAUCAGAUCCUCCUUCCAAAAGGAGUACUUGACUGAGGAGGAGGGUGGCCAGAAAGGGAGGACUCCCCUGCUGCUGCCCUGCCACACACCAGCUGACCACACAAGAGGGGCUCUUUCUGGAAAUGCUCUAACGAAAGCAGGUGUUCUGCCAACCAAAGAAAGGCGUGCAAAACAGAAGCCUUCCUUAAAGCAGGUUAAAUAACCUCGUUUUUUGCAGCAAUCUGAAAACAAGAAAGCCGUGCUGUGUUCUCAAGGGGCCUUAUAAUCUGUUUUUUUUUUUUUUUUUUUUUAAAGUCUAGAUACAUUUUGUUUAUAAAUUCCCAAGGAAUUGUCAACACUUUGGUGACACCUAAUGGAUUCUUUUUGAAAUUCCAAGGUGCUUCAUUUCUUUGCCUCUUAAGUGAACUGUGCCUUUUAAAAACUGCAUUUCUGUUCCCUUCUUGGUGGCACUUCCGACUUUGCAGAGAGCACCCGUCUUGUUGGAGGCAGGUGGUCUGUGUUGUGCACACACAUUACUGAGACAAUCCGAUCUUCCUAAGCUUUUUAAGGAGAGUUGGGGGCGGGGAGUAGAACUAGCUAUAAAAUAUGUAUGGGGCACAUCUUGUUUAAUUUUGCAUGUGACUUCUUUUUAGUGCAUCAAUGAGGUUUUAGUGACGUUGUCAUCCAACACUUUACCUUUAUUGUUCAGGGAAUGCCUUUGUGAUUUUUUAUACUGGUUUUACUGUUCAGAUUGUGGCUUGGGUUUGAGUAUACUGCUAUCAACCACCUGGUCUUUGAAUUGCCCACCCAGUAAGCUUAUAUUUUGUGAAGCAUUUGUUUUUCAGAUUAAGACACUGUUAGAACCUACAAAAGUAGUAGCUGAUGGUUAUCUGUGAAUUUUUCUUUCUUUCUUUCUUUUUUUUUUUUUUUACUUGAAGUAGAUUGUCUUAAACAGGCAUCCUCCUCUCUAGUAUCCAGAACCUCGCUCGUUGUCGUGUGCACUACAAGUUGCAGUUUGGAAAACUUGCUGUAUUGAAAUUGUCAGUACAUAGUUCUUGGAACACUGACAUUCUCUCCCAAACACUGGUUCCUGCAGCAGCAUUUUUCAUGCAUAAAAGAAGAAAAGGCCACUAGGGCCAGAGAUUUUUAAAAAUCACUGUACAAAUUCUUAUGUUAAAUUAAACUAAGCUUUGCUGUAAUACUGUUUUCUCUUCAAUAUGUGAUGGUACCAGAAUGUUGUUAAAAAUGAAGGGGGUAGUAUUGCAGGGGAGCAUUUUAAAUCACAGAAGUAAAAAAGUUAUAAUAUUUAUAAUUUUGAUGAGUUUAUUUUAAUAGGGAAGAUUUUUCUUCCCUGCAGUUGUUUCUGGAAUGGCAAAUUGUUUCCAUUAUUAAAAGUCGAAGUUGUUAGCUGGUGUCUGUGUGUUUUUAUUUGCGAUAAUAAUAUGCCCGGUAAAAGGAGGUCGCAGGAGCGGGACGAACUGCUUUUGCGGACCCAAGAGAACACGUGUGGGAACGCAGGGACUUAGUAGGUUUGAGUGGGGCACAUUUGUUCUCUCAAGUGUUGCUUUUCCUUUGUCUUACUCUCUCGGGAAGGAAACCCUCGCUGAGUGUCUACCUGUACAACACAUUCCUAAAACAGUUGUUCUGAUUGUGGAAUAUACAUACGUUCAAAAGUGUAUAAAGCAUGUGAACAAAGAAUUAAUACAAAGUGGAUGCCCUGUGGCCCCUUCCAAAAACAGGAGGGUCCCAUUAGUUCCUUAGAAAUCCUCUCCCGGGGUGCCUGGGUGGCUCAGUGGGUUAAGCCGCUGCCUUCCGCUCAGGUCAUGAUCUCAGGGUCCUGGGAUCGGGUCCCGCAUCAGGCUCUCUGCUCGGCGGGGAGCCUGCUUCCCUCUCUCUCUCUGCCUGCCUCUCCAUCUACUUGUGAUUUCUGUCAAAUAAAUAAAUAAAAUCUUUAAAAAAAAAAAAAAAACCAAAAAAAAAAAAGAAAUCCUCUCCCUCCACCUUCCCUACCUGCCUUUAGUUCUCUUGUCCUUGAAACAGACCACUUUCAACGUUUAAAGUGUGUAUUUUUUGGUCAGCAUGCCUGUCCCACACAGGAUGGUGGGAUGGGGAGUAUUUGGGGGAGUCCGUAUCUGUGAGUGGGUAAAGGCUCUGUGUGCUCCUCUCCUGUGCCUGCUCUAGGCAAGCAUUUUUACUGCUGCACUGCCCCCUAGAGGUGGUGGUGAAAUCAGACUAGUGCUGCACCUGUUGGUGAAGGGAAACAUUUCCAGAAAAGCACCAUAGUUGUUUGAGAAGUGAAAAUAUUAUGAUAGAAAAUGAUGGCUUUGUAUAGAUCUCUCUGAUGAAAUAUCGAGAGGAAUCUGGUUUGUUAGUUCAGCCUGGGUUACUACCCAAGGUGCACGGGGAGUUUUUUUGUUUGAAUUUUUAUCCCUUAAAGGGAGUUAGUUUCCUGCCCUAAGCUUUUUGUCAGAAUUUAUCACCAAAUGAUAACCUGUUUAGAUUUUCUUAUUUUGCAGAAUCCUCAAGAAUAGUAUCUUGCAUUUUGUUUUAGAAAGAAUGGGGAGGGUGCCUCAGUAGGUUAAGCAUCUGCCUUGGGUUCAGGUCAUGAUGUCAGGGUCCUGGGAUCGAGUCCUGUGUCGGGCUCCGUGCUCAGCAGGGAGUCUGCUUCUCCCUCCUCUUCUGCCACUCGCGCUGCAUGUGUGCUCUCUCUCACCCUUUCUCUCAAAUAAGUAAAUCUUUAAAAAAAAAGGGGGGGGGACGCCUGGGUGGCUCAGUUGGUUAAGCAGCUGCCUUCGGCUCAGGUCAUGAUCCCAGCGUCCUAGGAUCAAGUCCCACAUCGGGCUCCUUGCUUGGCAGGGAGCCUGCUUCUCCCUCUGCCUCUGCCUGCCAUUCUGUCUGCCUGUGCUCACUCUCUCCCCCUCUCUCUCUGAUAAAUAAAUAAAAUCCUUAAAAAAAAAAAAAAAAAAAAAAGGUUGGGGGGAUGUCUCUGUACUGGCAAAUUCACAUGAAGUGUUCACAGUGUGCCAGGCUGUAUUCUCCAAACCUCAGUACAUAUUAACGCUUUUUCUCUACUGUGAGGUAGGUAUUGUCAACAUCCACAUCUCACAGAUGAGGUGGCGCACUGAGGUCCAGCAGCUUGCCCACCGCCUCGCUGAGAGAGCGGCCGAGCCAGGUCCUGGCCCCGAGCAGCCCUGCCGCUUCGCUCCCCCGGAAGCUCCGUCCAGUUUUCCAAUGCACCUGCCAGCAGGAAGCCCGGGAUGUUGCCAGUCCCGCGCUGAGCGGUUUGUCAGAAAGCAAGCCUCUGGGUGCGGUGGGGGUUUGUGGGACGUGGAAGGGCAGCCUCGAUGUCUGAGUGCUCUGUCAUCCUUGUGUGGUGUUCAUUCAGCGUCCCACUGAGGUGGUUGUGGGUUAACACUAAGCGUCUCCCGGUGUUUUCAUUCCGCAGGUUCUGUUGUGCGGGAGGCUCCUGGGGCAGCUAGCCCGGCCAGUGUUCCCACUGCGGUUAGUACCAUCAUUCCCGGCACCACCCAAAGAGCCUCCUCGGGGACUGCGGAGUUCCCCAUUCGCAAAGGCUAGAGCUUUCCUCCCCCACCAAGGAUGGACCUCUGCAGAGGAACACGGGAAACCAAGCAUGGAGUCUUGAAAGUCCUCCCUUGUCGGUGUGCACACCCGCACAGUUGACCAGGCUAUCGGUCAGCAAGAGAGCACCUACAGAAGAGCUUUCCAGGUAGAGACUACAGCAGCCAAGGAAUAAAGGCCUGUUCUCCAGUCUUAGGUGAGUGACAAAAAGAUUAACCGGCAUCUUGUCAGAAUGACUACUUGUGGACUAAAACAAAGGACACAUUCCCACUAGAACAGAAAUAAAUUUUAAUUUGUUGAAAAGUGCAGCAGUGAACAGGAUCUUUUGAAGGGCACUUUCUAAGUCAGGUGACUGAGAUGACACAAAGCCAGGGCAGAGUAACUUUUAGGAACAGAUGACACAAACACAGGAAUUCACAGAGGUCAUGGGACCUAAGUGGUCAAAGUAAAGAACCCAAAUACUCCACCUAAUUCAUUGGUGGAUCAAUGGUGGAAAUAUCCUUUGCUUUACCUUAAUAAGGACCCUGGAACAGUCUGUCUUUUGUUAAAGCACUAAUCCUUAGACACCAAAAAUAAAUUUUAAAGAAUAUUUCUCACACGUCAAGGUAUAACUUCAUGGCUAUGGUCAGUAUUUUGUACAAACCUUUAGUACUGUGAAUUAAAACAUAUUUUACAACAGUAUUGUUGGUCAAAUUCAAAGAUGCUCAAAAGGGGUUCUCCACUGGAUAUUUGAGGGUAGCUUUUAAUAGGAAAUCUUAUAAGGCAAAAAUCUCUGUUCAUUCCUGUGGCCUUGGGUCACUCCUAAUGGUUAUACAAUUUUCUCCUCUGAAGGGCACCAACCAGUCCAGACCUGGCCUUCGUAAAAGAGAAAAUAAUCAAAAUCCAAAUUCAUACAGUUAGGAGAGAAAGAAGCCAAGCCUCUUGCAAUGUGUUCCUUGUACAUACAUUCUGUAAAGUUCAGUGCAUUUUGUAGUCUGCUAGGCUAUGAACUUGAGAGAUGAUUUUAGUACAGAUCCAGAAUGAAGCCAGUCUAAGAAAAAGUCAGAUUAUAGGCCAUUCCCAAGUUAGUAGGAAAUGUCCCAAAUACAGGAGGCAGGAGCUACCAGAGCGGGCAUCCCGUCCCCACCCGGACAUGGGCCGCUGAGUGUUCGGAGCAGUGUGGCAAGGUUCCUGUGGGCAGCGGACUUGGGUCACUCUUAGGACUUUACCUGUUCUCAGGAACCAGCAUCCGAAAACUGAAUAAUAGGACAUCACAAUAUAAGACCUGGUAAGAGUUGGUUUCUUUUUAUUCGGGAAUAACUAUGGUCAACUUUGAGUAAGGUAGAAGUUGACUGAUUAAUGUUAAGAAUCAAAGUGUAGAAUAAAGCUGAUACCCAUAUGUAACAUUGUAGUUUGCUUUUAAUCACAAAAUAUUUAGAAUAUCUUCCCCUAAAACAUUCACAGCAGAGGUGUUCAUUUUACUUGCCAGUUUCACCUCUGAAUACCACCACAGUUACUGGGAUUGCAUGAGGUAAAGGAACAACCCAAAGGCUAUUAACCCAACAUGGCUCCAGAUCUGGAGUUCUGAUAGAGAUGUUGCUUACAGCCAUGUCUUACAAAGUGCUUAAAGCUCGACCUAAGACCUUAAAUAAAGCUAAAAUCACUAUUGCCUGAGUUGAACAGGUUAUAAACCACAGCUCUCUUCCUCCUCCCCCUGCUGUUCCAACCACAGAUUAGCUUUCUUGGGAAGAAACCAGAUUGGUCUUGGAGCCCGGAAACCUACUAAUGUAGGUGUUAUGUGCAGUCAGGAAACCUCCCCAAGGUCUGGCUUUGACAGGGAACAGUGAAUGAGGCCAAAUUACGGGAGACUCCAAACCCUCAGGCAAACUUCUGUACAAGGGAAGAGAGUAGGGUGAAGCAAGCUGGAACUCCGCGUCACCUGUGCUGGAGGAACAGAAUGUCCACAAAAUGCGGAGGCAAAACCAAACCCAGGCUCCUGCCACACAGGCACCUACGCCGUCCCAGCUGCAGCCCUUCCACCCGUCAAGCUGUGAGCCGGGCCGCAGAGGCCCUCAAAGUGCAACCUUCACCAGCCCUUAGACGUUCUUCCUCUCUGCUGAGAUCCCUAAGCUACUUUGUUGUUCAGAUCUCAGAGGGGUAAUAAUCAAGAGAAGAGACGUUCCCUCUUGUGGUUAGCAUGUGGUGAGCAGCCUGGAAGGAGAUGGAAGGAAAUGGCUGUCCCCUUUUAAGAACUACCUGGAAUUAGCCUUUACCGAAAACUUAACUGUUCUCUUUCAGUGUAGCACCAGCCCAGAAUGCAAAAGAAACGAAAACAAGAAAAAACCCAACAACAGAAAACAGUGCUUGGUUGACAGGUUUGGAAUCUGUGACCUUAUCACAUUGUGAUGUGGAUAUUAUAAACAAUGUACUUCCACUAAUCUGACAACGGUGGUACUUCUUGCUCUGAUGGUUAUUCAAGGCGUGUGAUGUUGGUAUUUGUGAGAGUGAAGUGGUUGAGCUGUAAAAUACACCCCCCCCCCAAAGUACCGCCGUUUAUCUGAAUGGACUUACAAAUUCAGACUCUGAUCACACAGGGAAUCAUCAGGAACUGGAACCCCAGGGAAGGGAGCAUUGUGAUUAGCUGAACGAGGCAUCAGGGCCAGCCAUCCCUGACGGAGGGGCAGAGUUCACAGUUUAACACAUUGCACAAGAUGGUCAGCUGACUGGGUUGCCUUUUCAGACGGGACCUAGAGCCAGUCCAGAAAGUCUUCCAGGCGCGGUCUUGCGGACUAGCUACAGAUACCUACUACAAUCACUUCUUCAGACAGAGGCGUGCAGGAACCCAGUGCAGAGGUUGCUACAGAGGAGGUUUUGAAAACCUUCGAGUCCUGACACUGCCCUGAUUGUUGAACAUGAGACGAGGGUCAAACCUGUAUCUGGGGAGGGGAGAAAAAGGAUGUCACGUUAACCCGAGUCAGCCACUGAGCACUUCAGUCAGAAUGUUCAGUGGAAAGGACGGCAGGAAGGAAGAUCAAAGGACCCAUUAAAUCACUAGAAAGGAAUCCAGUGGCAAAGUCUGUAGUACAGAACAGAAGCGCUGGAUAAUUAAGAGCAUUUCCAGCACAAGGAAGCAAGCACAGAACAAUGUAGUGAAAAGCAAAGAGGAAAAAAACAAGGUUAUUCUUGAGAGGCAUUAGGAGGCGGCAAGAUUUGAGGUAGGUACCCCCCCCUCUUUUUAGGGGCGUUUGGAGGCAUCCUGAGGGUUGAAAGCAGCCUAAUGGCAGUCUAGCCCUUGCUGGAACCCUAGCAGCUGCUUCAAAGCCCUUCCAUUCACCGUUCAGAUAGAACGACAGGUAACAGCACAGGUGUGCACCUCAGACUCCAGUAGUUUCCUACUGAGGAGUAGUUUUCCUACCAGUAGUUUCCUACUGAUGAGUAGUUGGCUCAUCAUGAACUGAGCUAGGUCAUUAACCUAUGGCUACCACUAAAAUAGUAAGGCAGUUCAAUUCCUGUGAAAUACCUACCAUUCAGCGUUUACUCUUUUCCUUCGCUGGUAAAAUUAAAGUAGAUUAGCUGGAAAGACAAUUUACAUGUGUAGUCUAGACAUAACACUGUAUUUUACUUUUAUCUGCAAUUUUUUGGGAUAAACUUAACCAGCAUUACUUGAGAACAAGGGUGAGCCAUACACUCUCUGUCCCAACGACUCAAUGUUGUUGCUGUAUGUAAAUGAAUGAAUGCGGCUACUUUCAAAGGGUGGUGGCUGCACUGGGCCUAUAGGAUCUAGUCUGCUGACCUCCAUUUUCAGAGGAUUCCAUAGGCCUAGGUGUGUGGUGGGAAAGAAUAAGCUACUGCUAAGGAAUUUAAAAGCAACCAGGUGGCUGAAAUAGCUGAGGCUAACAUGAGGAAAGCCGGCAUCUACAGUCUCGGUUAUAAGCUUCGUAGCAAGACAAUUAAAUUACAGUUUCAACAAACAAAGCUUGCCUGGGAGUCAGGAGGUCUUACUCUGUCAGCUCUAAUGGUGACGCUUCAGCAAAUUUAGCGGAGGGCUCAGCGUGGCUGCUUGGACGUUCUAUCUCCAGUCCUAACACUUCAGGCCUGAUGCUCAGCCUCCAUUUGAGAUUAAUCAGAGGAUGGAUUUAAGUUCCAAGAGUCAUCCAGAGACUGCUCUAGACAUCUCAUUAUAGUUGAUAAAACAUUCUAAGCGAAGCAGCUGCUGGAAACCACAAAAUCAUCAUGUGUCAACCAGAAGUCUUGUGUCUUGUACUUUAGAGAAUGAAUUUCCUACCUCAAGGAAUGGGCCUGAGUGAGGCUCCAUUUCACUCACCUGGAGAAAAGCUCCAAGCUGGGCAGUCAGAAUGCUUGACUGAUGACUGCGUUAACAGGGUUACCCAUGUAAAAGUUUAAUUAGCAAUAAUUGCGCCUCGGAUAAAUCUCACUGGCUACGAUACUGCCACUGCGCAAAGCUACCCAUAUAAAAGAAGGCUCAAGUGAUAUAAAAUUAUGAUAAAAUUGUCUUUUUAUAUUGUUACCUAAUUUUGUUUGCUGGCCUCCGUGUCUCUCUCUGGCUUUAUAUGCAGCAUUUAGGAAAAGUGGGGUUUUUUGGGUUUUUUAAAGAUUCUUUUUAGAGAACAGGAGCAGGGAGAAAUGGAGGGGAGAGAAUCUUAAGCAGAUUCUUGUUAGCUGAGUUCAGAGCCUGAUGCAGGGCUCAAUUCCAUGAGCCUGAGAUCAUGACCUAAGCUGAAAUGAAGAGUUGGAUGCUGAAGAGAGCCACCCAGGUGCCCCUACAUUUCUUUAAUAAACCAUCUAUAAUCCAUUUUCUCUGCUCAUCACAUGUAUUACUAAGUUGUAUAUUAUAUUACAAUAUACAACAUACAACAUACUGUUGUAUAUUACAAUAUACAACUUAGUAAUGUAUGCUUAUAUAUUACUGAAGACCGCUCACACAAAGCUAAAUAAUUGAGUUACUACUUAAGUUACUAUUUUCCAUCAGCUCAGGACAUCAAUCAGAAUAACUAAAUCCUUUUCUAGUGAAAAUUCAACUUUAGAGUUCAUGGUCUUCAAGCGUAAAAUGUCAAGUUUCUUGCUGUAGGCAGUUCAGAUUCAUGGUGUGCUAAGACUAAGACCCAGUGUCACCGGAGAGAAGUUAUUUCAGAGUACUGAGUGGGAGGAUGAGGGCUGGCUUAGUAGGUGAUCAAAAUCUUUUCUCCCUCCAUAUACGAUGUGGUCUUAUGCAUUUCAACAUUUCAGAGUCUAUACCUUCUAACUCAUUUUGUGUGUUUAGCAUAUUAAAUUUACUGGCAAGCAUUUUAAGUUUCUCCAGUUGAGGUUUCUGAGAAGUGAAAUGAAGGCUUAUCCUCUUGGAAGUGCUAGGGAACAGGGCAGCACUCAGUCGGCUUACUUUAAAGAAACUCCACCUGUCACCAGUGUAAUCAAGUUGGUACCAUGACAAGGAUCACACGAGGAAGGGGAGGGAGGAGAGUCCCAUGUGGCAGCGAGCAGGGCUAGGCCUCCAGCUAAAGCAGCAACUGGCACCGGAGAGCAGAAGUUUGAAAGAGCUUAUUUUCUCAGUACAGGAGGUGAAUGCAUGAAGAUGUAGUAUUCCUACUACAAAGGAGAAUAAUGAGAGAAACAGCUCAGAGCCAAAAGGUUCCCUCAGGCUGCCUCUGGAUUCAAGAAUGGCAUGAUUGCUAUAGAUAACUUGUCAAAGCCAUCGAAGACAGUGGAAACUUACCCAGGGUCAAACACUCCUGGAGUGCGACAGUUUGGUCCAGAACAGGACUGUAACAUCAUUAGCCGGUAGUUCAUUUUUCCUAAAAGCUCUGGGUCUAUACUUUUAGCAAUGUUUGUGAUUUGGUCUGGAUCUGCAGUCAGGUUAUACACUUCUACAAAUACCUACAAGAAUGAAAAGAUGGGGGAAGGUUAAGAGCAAGCGUUAUAGUUGAAGUACUCCCCGUGUGCGUGAUUUCUAAACGGGAAGGGACGAGGUGGACAGUGCAGUCCCCAGGAGAACACCAUCUGGUCUUCAUGUCCUCAGAGCGCCCGAGGGUAAACGCAAGACCACAGAGCAUGUUCUUGGGUUAAGGGACUUCAGGUUCAAGGCCCACAUGCUGGAAACAGGCCUCCAGGACACCCUGUGCUUUUCGGCAGAGACAGGAGGACAGAUUUACUAUCUUUCAUAAUAAAAGCAGAGAAGAGAAUGCAGGACCCUCAAACAGCAAGGUCUCGGAAAGUAGACUCAGUGCUAAUAUUGUUACAGAAGUGAGAUUUGACAUUUGAAGGUUUAUUUUUGUGUUAGAAUUGUUAAGACUCAAAUGAGAAUAAAUACGAAAGUACUCUAGCCUGUGUUGUACAGAUGCUAUACUUUCGUGCUUUAAAAAGCAGUUUUGGGGGCGCCUGGGUGGCUCAGUUGGUUAAGUGACUGCCGUCGGCUCAGGUCAUGAUCCUGGAGUCCUGGGAUCGAGUCCCACAUCGGACUCCCUGCUUAGCAGGGAAUCUGCCUCUCCUGCUGAUCUCUCUCCUCUCGUGCUUGCUCGCUCUCUCUCUCAAAUAAAUAAAUAAAAUCAUUUAAAAAAAUAAAUAAAGGGACGCCUGGGUGGCUCAGUUGGUUAAGCAGCUGCCUUCGGCUCAGGUCAUGAUCCCAGCGUCCUGGGAUCGAGUCCCACAUCGGGCUCCUUGCUCAGCAGGGAGCCUGCUUCUCCCUCUGCCUCUGCCUGCCAUUCUGUCUGCCUGUGCUCGCUCUCUCUCCCUCUCUCUCUCUCUGAUAAAUAAAUAAAAUCUUUUAAAUAAAUAAAUAAAUAAAUACAUACAUACAUACAUAAAUACAUAAAUAAAUAAAUAAAUAUAAAAAGCAGUUUUGGGGCGCCUGAGUGGCUCAGCUGGUUGAGCGACUGGCUCAGGUCCUGAUCCUGGAGUUCCGGGAUCGAGUUCCGCAUCGGGCUACCUGCUUGGCAGGGGGUCUGCUUCUCCCUCUGACCUUCCUCCUUCUCAUACUCUCUCUCUCUCAAAUAAAUAAAUAAAAUCUUUAAAAAACAAAUAAAAUAAAAGGCAGUUCUGGAUGUCCAACACCAACUGGGAAAGGACACAAUCCCAUUAUUUCUGACACUAGACAGAUCUAAUACCACUAUUAUCUCCUCUCCCCCCAGCUCUGUACUUUAUUGUCCAAGGGACAGGCUAGGAAAAUGACAGUUAAACAUUACAGGGAAGGAGGAACAAGAACCGAUUCUGAACGAUGCUCUUCUGCCUGCUGUCCAAAGUGCUUCUGACCCACAAACGAGUGGUGAGCAAGUCCAUUUCCAAGAAACACAGUGCGUGUCGGCUCCACAGGGCAAGAUGUGGGAUGCCAGCUGGGCACGUGCUGAUGAACAGUGUGAAAGCACGAAGGACUGCAGGGCGGGAGGUCUCCGUCCAUACUGGUCUCCGGGUGCUGAAAGCCACCUUCUCACAAGCAUGGCGCCUCUGGUUUGGCUUUUGAUUGCCCACUGCUCAUCUAUUUGAGCAGCUCUGGGCUAGGCUGUUGUGGGGACCAGAGUUUCUGAACAAGCUGGUUGUUAGCCUUCUGGCAAAUGUCCCAACUCCUUUUACCUCCACAGAAGUUGAGGUGUCUUACUGUGGCCCCAAACUAGCAGGGAAGCAAACAGAGGAGGCAUACAGCAAUCUGAACAAGUGGACGGUGCCUUUAAAUGUGUGAGUGGUGCUAGGGGUGCAGAAGAGCCCAUUCAGAAAGGGCACAGUUAGAGAAAUGCAAUAUGGCUUUGUGGAAUUCUGUUUUUUGUUUUUGUUUUAUAAAAUUAGAGAGAGACACAAAACAAACUGAGGGUUGCUGGGGGGAGGAGUGUUGGGAGAACGGGGGUGGGGUUAUGGACAUUGUGGAGGGUAUGUGCUAUGGUGAGUGCUGUGAAGUGUGUAAACCUGGCGAUUCAUAGACCUGUACCCCUGGGGAUAAAAAUAUGUUCAUAAAAAAUUUAAAAAAAAAUUAAAAAAAGAUUAGAGAGAGAGAGAGCAAGCACAUGUGAGUUGGAGGAGGGCAGAGGAGGAGGGAGAGAAAGUUCCAAGCAGACUCUGUGCUGAGUGUGGGGCUCAGUCUCAGGACCCUGAGAUCGCAACCUGGGCCAAACAAGAGUCAGACUCUUAACUGACCGAGCCUCCCAGGCGCCCCUCUAUUUUCUGAACCGAAGGAAGCCUCAGUAUAAGUACAGAUAAGAAACCUAUCUUCCUUAGGAAACGGCCUUGAAUUGUUAUUCUUCUGCUACCUCGACCAGCCAGCAGAGCAUGGGCACUAGCACGCAAGGGGGUGGGGGAGACAGAGGGCCUUCUUACCUCCUGGUCAUCGAACUCACAAUACUGUAAAUUCCACUGCGCCGACAGGGUCCUCACACAGGCGUAGGUGUUAUUGUAAGCAUCUUCACAGACACAGUCUGGGAAACAUUGCUGUAGGGAUAUUCAGAAAGUUAGAUCAGGAGAGUUCUAUAGGAACAAAUACCACCUGUCUACAGGGGCAACCAAGUUGGCUCAAGCCAGACCUACCACUGGAUAGAAAUUAGGGAACUUUCCACAGAGAAGGAAAUCAAAGGUAGAUGUGGGGCUUUGUUCUUUACUUGUGGCUCACUUGAUUAAGGAUGUUUGUGGUAGUUCUGCUUAUAGACUCUUGCCACCACCGUGUGCUAAUCUCAUGACAAGAAUGUGUUGCAGUGAGCAACUGGAAAGUGGAUGGCAUAGAUGCUAAGGAGACGAAAUGAAUCUCCUAGGAGUCACGUCUAAGGUCUGUUAGGAACUGUCAUCUUAACAGGUUGGAGAAAAAGGCUCAAGUGAGCUUUGUGGAAUCAGCUGCAGGUAACUUAAUGUUUUCAUGUUGUCCUUACCGACUUCCUUGUACUUUGGUAUUGGGCUUCUCUCUGGAGUUGACUUUCCUAUUUUGCAUCAUCCAAAGUGAGGCCAACAUUGCUCCCACCACCUUCAUGACCAGCCUGACUGUCACCAAGCAAGACACUUAUAAUGGCAGUUACAUAUAACUGUGGUGACCCCGUAUCUCUUCCAAGGGCUGCUGCUAACCUCCCCCAUAAACAAUGGUACCACCACUUGGGAAGGAGAGGAAAACAAGAAGGGGAAUGAAAAAGAAUAUGGGUAGAUACAUGUGCUGGUUAGGAAAAAGGAAGAAUUCAAGGUGCACAUUCUGACAAUAGGUCAGAAACAUCAUUUUCAGGAUUACUAAAUUUGUCUGGUCUACUAAUUUCUAGUCAAGUGACAAAGUCAAGUGAAAGAGGACCAAGACUCAGAUUUAGGGUUUUAAUACUUGACACAUCUAAGCCAAUGCCUUGCUGUGCUACUGGUAAGAAAACUGUCUAAGCCAACUCAAGCUACUACUCACCGAUACUCCAGGACUCAGCAAAGGACAGGUUGGGUCGGUGACAUUACGGCCUUCUCCUUGAUAUUCCACCAAGACAUCUGAUCGCCAAGUCAGACUGCUGGCACCUUUCUGGAAGGAAGAGCAAAAGUGGUUUCUGUGAGGCGUAUAGACUGUGAUUAGGAUCACAGAGUUCUAUUAUGCUAAAGGGGAGUGGCGGGUCAAAACGAAUUGGACUAUUCAUUCAGUAGCUGCAGAGAAUGGGAAAACCUGAUGCAGAUGAAGGCUUCUAUCAUGUUUGGUAUUUCAGAGCACUGACAGAUGACAGAAAAUGCUUCGAGCAUUAAUACCUCUGUGAAGCAGGAUGGGAAUGGAAACUAUAGACUCUUAAGAAUUCUUCUAGGGACACCUGGCUGGGGCAGUUGGCCAAAUGUCCAACUCAGGUCUGAUAGUGGGGUCAUGGGAUCAAGCCCUGUAUUGGUUCGAGUUCAGUGUGGAGUCCACUUGGGUUCCUCUCCGUUGCUCUACCCGCCCCCCAACAUGUGUUCCCUGUAAAAUAAAUAAAACAUUAAAAAAAUUCUUCUAAAAAUUUCUUCUAAAAAAUUCUUCUAAACCUUUCUGAUGAAGAAAUUUAUAGCCAAAUGCACACAAGGCUAAAAAUUAAAUAUUAAAAACGGCUAGUGUGCUAAGGACUAUAACGGGUUCUAAGUUCUUGGUUGGAAUGAAGAUACCAUACAUACUGGAACUCACUUAUUCUUCACUGCGCAUUAGUGGAGUGAAAGCAAAGAAGCAACAGCAUAUGAAACGGGAGGGUCUAAGACAGGAACACAAGUGGUGAAAGGAAUAAGGCUAAAGUAGUGAAAGGAAGUUCUGGAUCAAAAUGACAGUAUGAGCAGUUUCCCGAAAUCCAGCUUUUAGACAAGGAAUGGAGAGGAAGGGUGGUCAUUAGAAUAAAAUCAAGGCUCUGCUUUAGAAAAAUCAUCCUAGUAGCGGAUUCUAGAGAUGGAGUCAAGAGAUGCAGGACAGGGAGAUCAGGUUAGAAUGCGCUCCUAAAAUAGUCUAUAGGCUUACUAAUCAGAGUCGAGUCUGGCUUGUGGUGUUAAAAAGGAGAUAGCAGGCCCAAAAUGGAGUCACUUGUACUAAACUCCACAUCAACAAACCAAGACUUAACUCCUAAGCUAGUUGCAGUUGGAAUCCUCCAGGAACAUAACUUCACCAGUCAACUUGGAAUUACCUGGUUAGCACUAAUGAGGUACUCUGCCCCACAGACCUUCCUGUUCCCCUCGGGAGGGUGACCUUAGCUGAAACAAUGCAUUCUUUGUUAAUAAUUUCCAUAUCCACCCCCUUUCCACGUUAAUAAAUUUCCCUUUUCUACAGCUCUACAGAGGCUACUUACUACCUUCUAUCGCAGAUGAGCUGCUGCCUGAUUCAUGAAUCACUGAAUAGAUUUUUAACAGAUCAGAUGGCAGUGCCAGGAGCUGAAUCAAACCUCUUACAGCACUCUGGGACAAUGAGAACCCUGGGAAUGAUACUUGCAAACCUUUUUUUUUUUUUUUAAAGUAGGCUCCAUGCUGGGCAUGGACUUGAGGCUUGAACUCACAACCCUAGAUCAAGACCCAAGCUGAGGGGCACCUGGGUGGCUCAGUGGAUUAAAGCCUCUGCCUUUGGUUCGGGUCAUGAUCCCAGGGUCCUGGAAUCGAGCCCCGCAUCGGGCUCUCUGCUCAACAGGGAGCCAACUCCCCCACCCCCUGCCUACUUGUGAUCUUUGUCUGUCAAAUAAAUAAAUAAAAUCUUAAAAAAAAAAAAAAGACCCAAGCUGAGAUCAAGAAUCAGAUGCUCAACCAAGGUGCACCCCUUACCCCCUCACAAACGCAUUUUUGAGUUCACGGUCCUUUCACCAUUUCUGAGAUUCCAAGUUGUGAUCCUAGUCUAAUUGGCUUUCCAGUCCAGGACUUAGUCACUUCCAGCUGGCAGAAUAUUCCAUUCAGAACCCAGUUUCCCAGCCCUUGGUUCAAUUUGCAUUUCCCAGUUAUUUGGAACCUCUUUCCAGUCCACAGUCCCUAUUUGCUGGAAUUUGCUGGUUUAGUCCAUGCUGGGAAUUGCUGGUGGUACACACAGCCUUCUCUUGGCCAGUCCCCAGUAAACCUUUCUUAGUUACUACUAGUAUGUUAAGGCACAUACUUUUUUUUUUUUUAAUUUGACAGAGAUCACAAGUAGGCAGAGAGGCAGGCAGAGAGAGAGGAGGAAGCAGGCUUCCUGCCGAGCAGAGAAAGGCACAUAUUUAUUUGUCAUCUUUUGUGUACAUAGCUGGGACGCCUGGGUGGCUGGCUCAGUGGGUUGAAGCCUCUGCCUUUGGCUCGGGUCAUGGUCCCGGCGUCCUAGGAUCGAGUCCCGCAUUGGGCUCUCUGCUCUGCCGGGAGCCUGCUUCCUCCUCUCUCUGCCUACUUGUGAUCUCUGUCAAGCAAAUAAAUAAAAUCCUUAAAAAAAAAAAAAAAAAAAGCUAUUGCUAAUGAGGAUUUUGGAAGCCAAAAAGCCACAAAAUUGGCUUGAGUAUUGGACAUGAGUAUCUUACGGUGCCUGUCAUCCCCAAGACAACUCUUAUGAUAGGAAACUGGUCAUGGGAUUGGUUGCACGGACAUUUGGUCACCCACCAACUUCAAGAAAAUUUCUGUGCAACAAAGGUACACUGUAAAACACCAACCCCCAACCCAGUGGCACAUCCCUUUUAGAUACUUAGAUUGGCACUGAGAAAUCCACAGUCUUAGCUAAUUAAGUCUAGUGUAUUGGCACACUUGUAUACUUUGUAUCUAAAAACUAAAGGAACUAAAGUAAGAAGUAUCUACGAAAGUGGCGAAAUCUUACUAAAAACAGUCCAGAGUUAAAAUGGGCCUUAAUGGGGACAAGUAGACCAGAUCCCUGAGUUAGGAAACACACUUGACCCUGGCACACCUGGCAUACAGCUCAGAUAGCACCAGAACCUUCCCAAGUGACCUCUUGCUGUGCCACACACAGUAGGAGGCUUUGCCUGGCACUGCACACCCCCCCCCCCCCCAGCCAUGAAUGCACCUGCGACGGGGUGGGGGGAGCAGCUCUGCACAUGAGCUUUCCUGCAACAGCUGCAGCUGGACUUCCGCAGCAAGCAGCACCGGAAGGCUGCCGUGCCCAUAGCUACUGCAGCCGCCGCACCAGAGAACUGCCCUGCACGCCAGGGAGUCCACACCAACCACAACCCAGCGAGGACAGGAGGGUGUGCACACCCCACAUGGACAUCCCUGAGACACAUGGCUUGGGUGACCUGGGGAGUUGGCACUACUGGGUCUCCUAGGAUGCCUUUGGCAUAAAGCCACUUCUUUAAUACAGGAGAUGUAAUCAAUCUACUUAAUACGUAGAAACAAAUAUAUUUAAACUGAGAGGAAAAAUGAGAAUAUGUUCCAAAGAAAAGAGCCAAGGCAGGGCGCCUGGGUGGUUCAGUGGGUUAAGGCCUCUGCCUUCAGCUCAGAUCAUGAUCCCAGGGUCCUGGCUUGAGCCCUGCAUUGGGCUCUCUGCUCCACAGGGAGCCUGCUUCCAACCCCCUCUCUCUCUCCUUACUUGUGAUCUCUCUCUCCCUGUAAAAUAAAUAAAAUCUUAAAAAAAAAAAAAAAAAAGCCAAGACAAAAACCUUAAAAAAAAAAAAACUAAACAAAACAAAAA